rnacentral:lncRNA from 9 species
UGGACAGCCCCGCCCAGCUAGGGGCGGGGUCUCAGUGUCUGGAAGGCAGUUCCCCAGGCCCGGGCAGAAGUCAGAGAGAGGGAGAGAGAGAGGGAGGGAGGCGGUCAGCCGCCAACCAGGCCUGUUCCUUGUGGCUGAUGAAAGAUUACAGGAGGACUCCCCCAAACCACCAGGUGAGGUGGAUAGGAGUCAUGCUGGGAGUGAGGGUGAACGUGAGAGACCUGGAGGCGAAACUGUGUGUUGAAGAUGCCCAGAGGCGGUGUGGGAAUUUGCAGAGGGAUUGGAGAGGGAGCUCCAGGUUGGCUGGGGGGACCCCUGCAGGAGGUGGGGGAGGAGGAAGGAGAAGCAGCCUUGUUGUGGGAAGGUGCCCCUCCCCCAAUUGGGGUGGGGGGAGCCACGAGGUUAGAGACCACAUCCCUGGGUUGCAGGGGUUGGGGGGAAGGGUCCUUUCCAGCUGCAGCUGCCCCCUGUGGGCUUCUCUCAGGUCCCAGCAUUGACUUUCCAGUCCCGCAUCUGGAAGCUCAGCUCCUGCCCCCUCCAUAGGCAAGAGGAGCCCCCAGCCUCCCCCACCAGGGGCUUUGCAAGUUAAUAACCCUGGGCUAACUCUGGCUGGCAAGCAUGGAACUAAUAAUAAUAAAACAAUAAAAUCGGCAUUGUUCUUAUUUUGUUGAUCUAUUAUCUAAAACACACUCGAUCCUGUGUUAAAAAUAUCACUUCCAUAGGAGUUCCAUAGACCUGGUCUCCUUACUUGUAGGUUUAACAAACGCCGUGUGUGUGAGGAUUCAGAGAUGGGGCUAGUUUGUUGUGGCUUAUCAUCACUAGCGAUGGUCAGUUCAUUUCACUUUGCAUGUCUCUGAGCACCAGCUCUGGGGACGAGUCCCCUGGGUUGGAGGAUGGACACUUAGGCUCCAGGGCUGAAGCGCCUGCACCAGUUCCAGUGUCUCUGAGUCCUCACCGCAGGAGGAGACUAACCUCGGAGGUUAAAUGAAGUAAUGUGUGUGACGUGACAUUGACAGCAGAGCCCCUCAGACCUGGGCAGCUCCCUGUUCCACCCAUGACAAAUGUUGGUCUCUGAUAUGCAUCUUUUUUUUUUUUUCUUUUAGGAAGUUGCCGGACCAGGGGUUGAAAUCUGAGCCUCAGCUGCAGCAAUCCUAGAUCCUUAACCCGUGCUGAGCCGGGAAUGGAACCCAGGCCUCUGCAGUGAGCCGAGCUACUGCAGUCAGAUUCUUAACCCACUGUGCCACAGAGGGAACGCCUUGUGUAUUUUAUCUUAUUUUAAUUAAUUGAUUGAUUUUUGACUAUGCCCAAGGCAUGCUGAAAUUCCUGGGGGCAGGGAUAGAACCCAAGCAGUGACAAUGCCAGGUUCUUAACCUGCUGAGCCACCAGGGAGCUCCUGUAUUGAGUAUUUUAUUUUAUUUUAUUUUAUAUAUGUCUUUUUGGGGCUGCACCAUGGCAUAUGGAGGUUCCCAGGCUAGGGGUUACAAUAGAGCUGUAGCUGCCGGCCUACACCACAGCCAUAGCAAUGCCAGAUUCGAGCCAGCCGCAUCUGAGACCUACACCACAGCUCACAGCAACAUUAUCAGAUCCUUAACCUACCGGGCAAGGCCAGGGAUCAAACCUGCAUCUUCAUGGAUACUAAUUGGAUUCGUUACCACUGAGCUACAGUGGCAAUUCUUAUACCAAGUAUUUUAGAUAUAUUAUUAUAUUAUCUUAUAUCUUAUAAUAUAUAUACAUUAUAU